UUCCCGGUUGAUCCUGCCGGAGGUUACUGCUAUCGAGGUUCGACUAAGCCAUGCGAGUCGAAUGUAGCAAUACAUGGCGAACUGCUCAGUAACACGUGGACAACCUGCCCCUUAGGUUGGGUAUAAACCCGGGAAAACUGGGUAUAAUACCCGAUAGGUCUCGAUUGCUGGAAUGCAUCGAGAUUUAAAGCUCCGGCGCCUAAGGAUGGGUCUGCGGCCUAUCAGGUAGUAGUGGGUGUAGCGUACCUACUAGCCUACGACGGGUACGGGUUGUGAGAGCAAGAGCCCGGAGAUGGAUUCUGAGACACGAAUCCAGGCCCUACGGGGUGCAGCAGGCGCGAAAACUUUACAAUGCUGGCAACAGCGAUAAGGGAACCUCGAGUGCCAGGUUACAAAUCUGGCUGUCGAGAUGCCUAAAAAGCAUUUCAUAGCAAGGGCCGGGCAAGACCGGUGCCAGCCGCCGCGGUAACACCGGCGGCUCGAGUGGUAACCGUUAUUAUUGGGUCUAAAGGGUCUGUAGCCGGCCGGAUAAGUCUCUUGAGAAAUCUGGCAGCUUAACUGUCAGGCUUUCAGGAGAUACUGUCUGGCUCGAGGCCGGGAGAGGUGAGAGGUACUUCAGGGGUAGGGGUGAAAUCUUGUAAUCCUUGAAGGACCACCAGUGGCGAAGGCGUCUCACCAGAACGGACCUGACGGCAAGGGACGAAAGCUAGGGGCACGAACCGGAUUAGAUACCCGGGUAGUCCUAGCCGUAAACGAUACUCGCUAGGUGUCGGCCACGGUGCGACCGUUGUCGGUGCCGUAGGGAAGCCGUGAAGCGAGCCACCUGGGAAGUACGGCCGCAAGGCUGAAACUUAAAGGAAUUGGCGGGGGAGCACCACAACGGGUGGAGCUUGCGGUUUAAUUGGAUUCAACGCCGGAA
rnacentral:rRNA from 1 species